GCACAAGCGGUGGAGCAUGUGGUUUAAUUCGAUGCUACACGAAGAACCUUACCAGGGUUUGACAUACAAGUAGUAGGGAAAGGAAACUGGACCGACCCUUCGGGGAGCUUGUACAGGUGGUGCAUGGUUGUCGUCAGCUCGUGUCGUGAGAUGUUGGGUUAAGUCCCGCAACGAGCGCAACCCCUACUUUUAGUUGCCAGCAGUAAGAUGGGCACUCUAAAGGAACUGCCGGUGACAAACCGGAGGAAGGUGGGGAUGACGUCAAAUCAUCAUGCCCUUUAUGUUCUGGGCUACACACGUGCUACAAUGGCCGGUACAGAGGGUAGCGAAGGAGCGAUCCGGAGCCAAUCCCAAAAAGCCGGUCUCAGUUCGGAUUGCAGGCUGCAACUCGCCUGCAUGAAGUCGGAAUCGCUAGUAAUCGCGGAUCAGCACGCCGCGGUGAAUACGUUCCCGGGCCUU
rnacentral:rRNA from 1 species